GAUGAACGCUGGCGGCGUGCCUAAUACAUGCAAGUCGAGCGAAGCGGGGACGGGUGAGUAACACGUGGAUAACCUCCUAUAAGACUGGGAUAACUUCGUGAAACCGGAGCUAAACCGGAUACUUAUCGAUGGAUCCGCGCUUCAUUAGCUAGUUGGUAAGGUAACGGCUUACCAAGGCAACGAUGCAUAUCCGACCUGCGAGGGUGAUCGGCCACACUGGAAAUGAGACACGGGCCAGAAUUCGACGGGAGGCAGCAGGAGGGAAGCUUCCGCAAUGGGCGAAAGCCUGACGGAGCAACGCCGCGUGAGUGAUGAAGGUCUUCGGAUCGUAAAACUCUGUUAGUAGGGAAGCGGUACCUAAGCAGAAAGCCACGGCUAAAUACGUGCCAGCAGCCGCGGUAAUUC
rnacentral:rRNA from 1 species